CGUAGGUGGUUUGUUAAGCGAGAUGUGAAAGCCCCGGGCUUAACCUGGGAACGGCAUUUCGAACUGGCAGGCUAGAGUGUGGUAGAGGGUAGUGGAAUUUCCUGUGUAGCGGUGAAAUGCGUAGAUAUAGGAAGGAAUACCAGUGGCGAAGGCGGUUAUUUGGACCAAUAUUGACACUGAGGUGCGAAAGCGUGGGGAGCAAACA
rnacentral:rRNA from 1 species